UGUGUGUACAACACUAUUUAUAUUUUAUAAAUCAUGGCCGCAUCGCUUGCUUGAGGUUUAUAAUUUUCAUAUUUUAUAGAUCCUAAUAAAUAUGGGAUCUUUUGCAAGAUUUGUUGCUGAAUAUUGCAAGUCUUGGGAUAAAUCAGGAAAAGAACAAUUCAUCAAAAAUGUGACUCAAUCUAUAAAAGAUGAAGAAAAAAGUCCACUUUUUACAAAGUCUGGGAAAUUGUCUGGUGUGUCUCAAAGUUUGUAUGAUUUACUUCUCUGUGGUCUUCGAGGAAAUCUGAAGAAAGAUAUAGUACUAUCUACUCUAAAAGAAAUAACUUUGUUACAUGCGGACAUACCAUCCAUAGUCCUUGACGUAAUAUGUGUACUUGAUGCAGAGACCUGCAUAAAUAUACAAAGUGAAGAGCGUUCAAAUUUCUGCCAUAUUGUGCGAGAAUUGGAAUCUUUUAUGUCUGACAAACUCUUGAAAGAGAGAUUAGAAAUUGACACCCUACAGGAUGUAGGAACGCUGAAGAAUAAAAACUUUUAUACCAAAUUUAUAAAAAUUAAGACUAAGUUAUACUAUAAACAGCGUAAGUUUAAUCUAUUUCGUGAGGAAAGUGAAGGUUAUGCAAAAUUAAUUGUGGAAUUAAAUCAAGAAAUAAGUGAGGAGACAGAAUCAAAAACUUUGUUGGAAAUCAUUCAAUCUUUGAUAGGUUGCUUCAAUUUAGAUCCAAAUAGAGUAUUAGACAUCAUUUUGGAGUCUUUUGAAGCUAGACCUCAUCUAGAUAAGCUUUUUAUCACUCUUAUAAAAAAUUACAUGGGAGAUCCCCAAGUAAUUUCUGAAGUGUUAGGAUUUAAGUUAGGAAAUAUGGAAGUCUUAGAUACAUACAAAGAACCCCCACCUUUGAUGACUGUGAUAGCUUUGCUUUUACAACAUCAAGUUAUAUCUUUGGAUGACAUCUUUCCUUGGUUACGCCCAGAUAACAUUUUAAUGGCUAAAGAGGCAGAUAAGGAAUUCAAAGCUGUUCAAGACUACAUUAAAAAAUUAAAUAUUGUAUCAACUAAAGGUCCACAAGCAAAUGGACCUACGGAAUUGAUUGAAGAAAAAACUGAUCCUCAGGAGUACUGGAGUAAUCAGAAACUAGUGCUGGGUGAGGCAUUACUGAAGGUGACAGCUUGGAAGGAAUUUGCUGCUCUGGCGGCACGAUUGCCUAUCACUACAAUGUUUGCGAGACCUGCCAUUGCGUUAUGCAAUAUGUUGCAUGCCCUUGUUGAACCUUUGUACAGAACACAUUGCCGAGUAGCGCCCAAGAUAUUAGGCAAACCGGUGCCACCUUUGGAAUCCAGUUUAGCUCCUUCUGCAUGCAAAACAUUUGAAGACAUGAAAGAAACAGUUAUUCCUGCUCUCAUUUUGUUAGGACCAGCUCUUCACCAUGAUCCCAUAUUAAUGUAUAAGAUAAUUCGUAUUUUAAGGACAGCCCGCUCAAAACCCAACGACCCUUUGCAUCACGAGGCUCUUACAGUCCUUGAUGCUGCCAUAUUACCAUCACUCACUCUGAUGGAGGGCAACUGCUGCAUGGCCGAGGAAAUUUACACCUUGCUCAAGUUAUAUCCAUACCAGUGCAGAUACUGUUUAUAUUCGCGAUGGAAGAACGAAGCUGGCGAAAAGAUUCCCCUAUUGAUGCGCGUCCGAGGAAAUGCAUUGCAAAGAAUCAAACACAUCAUGAAACGCGUGUCCAAAGAGAAUAUCAAGCCCCAAGGCCGCCUCAUUGGCAAGCUGUCCCACGCUGCACCAACGUUUUUGUUUGACUACAUGUUGUUACAGAUCCAGACAUACGACAACCUGAUCGGUCCGGUGGUGGAGUCGCUGAAGUACCUGACGUCGCUGUCGCUGGACGUGCUGGGCUACUGCCUGGUGGAGGCGCUGGCGCGGCGCGGAGGGGGCGCGGCGGCGGCGCACCCGCCCUGGCUGCAGGCGCUGGCGGCCUUCGCCGGCGCCGCCUUCAAGAAACACAAUAUCGAGCUCACUGCGCUGCUGCAGUUCGUGGCUAACAGGCUCAAGGCACAGCAGAGUCAUGACCUGCUGAUUCUCAAGGAAAUAGUUCAGAAAAUGGCUGGCAUCGAAGCUGCUGAGGAAAUGACGCCAGAGCAGCUAGAUGCUAUGGCCGGCGGGGAACUAUUGAAGGGCGAAGCCGGAUAUUUCUCUCAAGUACGCAACACCAGGAGGUCAUCAGCACGACUAAAGGAAGCCAUAGUAGGCAAUAACUUGGACAUCUCCCUGUGCAUCUUGUCUGCACAGCAGCGCCAUUGUUGCGUCUGGAAAGAUGAAGAAGAAGCGGCAGUGUCUGGCGAGCCGCCGGGGUCGCAGCUGAAGCUGGUGGGGCGGCUGGCGGACCAGUGCCAGGACGCGCUCGUGCAGCUCGGCACCUUCCUCGCCUCCUCGCACGCGCCCGACGAGUACGCGGCCAGGCUGCCGCCGCUGCAGGAACUGCUACGCGAGUACCAUGUGGAUGCUGAUGUGGCGUUCUUUUUACACCGUCCCGUAUUGGCCCAAAAAAUAGCUGCACGAGUAGAAGCCAUAAGAAAAAGUUCGGACACCAAAUCUGACUCUAUGGACAAAAGUAUCGAGCGUUAUAUUGUAGCGUCGAAGGAAACAUUGGAACCGAUACUAGCGUCUGUCACACCCAUGUUGCCCGCCAGAGUAUGGGAGGAUAUAUCCCCUGAAUUUUAUGUCACGUUUUGGUCAUUGUCUAUGUACGACCUUCGAGUGCCAGUGGAGAGUUAUGAGCGCGAGAUCGAUCGUCUGAAGAUCGCCGCUGCCAACGCGGGCAAGGACACGUCCCAGGGGACCAAGGGGAAGAAGGAGCAAGAGAGAUUCAACACCCUCAUUGAAAAGUUACAAGAGGAGCGGCGACGACAGGCGGAGCACGUGUCGCGCGUGUCGGCGCGGCUGCAGCGCGAGUGCGCGGGCUGGUUCCCCGCGCGCGCCGCCAAGUCCGCCAAGAACGAGACCGUCACCCGCCUCAUGCAGCUGUGUCUGUUCCCGCGCUGCGUCUUCACCGCGGUCGACGCCCUCUACUGCGCAGAGUUCGUGCACACCGUGCACUCGCUCAAGACCCCCAAUUUCUCCACUUUGCUGUGCUAUGAUCGGCUGUUCUGCGACAUCACGUACUCGGUGAUGUCGUGCACGGAAGGCGAGGCGGCGCGCUACGGCACAUUCCUGAGCCGCGUGCUGAGCACGGCCAUGCGCUGGCACCGCGACCGCGCCGCCUUCCACAGGGAGUGCGCGCACUAUCCCGGCUUCGUCACCAAGUACCGCGUCUCCAACCAGUUCACUGAGGCCAACGACCACGUCGGAUACGAGAAUUACAGACACGUGUGCCACAAAUGGCACUACAAGAUCACGAAGGCGAUGGUGGUGUGCCUGGACUCGCGCGACUACGUACAGAUCCGCAACGCGCUCAUUGUGCUCAUCAGAGUGCUGCCGCACUUCCCGGUGCUGGAGAAACUUGCGCAGAUCAUCGAACGCAAGGUUGAUAAGGUGAAAGAAGAAGAGAAAACCCAGCGACCAGAUUUAUAUGUACUAGCGACCGGUUACAGUGGGCAGCUCCGGAACAAGGUUCCUCACAUGAUGCGGGAGAGUGACUUCCAUCAGAUGGGCGACAAACACAAGGUGACGCAGCCGGCCGGCGCGGCGACGGCACCGCACAGCAAGGAGGAGCCCGCGCGCGCCGCGUCCGCCAGUCCGCCGCGCCAGCCCCCGCCCGCAGAUCACGACAAGCGAGAGACCCGCAACAGCGAUCGGCGACGCGACGAGUCGGAUCGAGAAAAAGAGGCGAAAAGAGAAUCGAGAAUGCUGAAAGAACGAACAAAGGAAGAAAUCAGGAGCAAAGAUAAAUCUCCAAGGGAAAGAUCACACAGGGAGGAGCGUUAUUUGGAAACUGUAUCCCCACCGCAUGACCAUCGUCAUGCUUCUGAUGACAUUGAUCGAGAUGUGAAGCGGCGUAAAGUAGAAACAGCCGGCAAUGGCAAGGUGAGUAUCGUUGUGAUAAACCGAGCUUGCCUCGCGCUCGCGCCGGACUGAGGAUUGGGCUGGACGCUGCGCCCUGCUGCCCGUCUGGACUAUGAACUCUUAAACAGUGCAAAAAAAGCAAACAAAAUAUCAAUUCAAAAAGUGUAAAUAAACCACAUAUAAAAUCAAAUCUCCUCAAUGAAAAUGAACAAGCUACUACAAAUGAAUCAAGAACUCUCAUUUGAUUUGGAAAAGAUUUUUAAUAAACGAAUCAAGAAGCAAUGAAGAUUACUAGCUACAUCGCAUCUAAUAUCACUUCACCGACAAGAGUGACGUCAUUAAAGAAAUUACCAAACAUUUAAAAAGGAAAAAACACUGCAAGUAUUGUCAUAAAUAUCAAUUGUGAAAUUGUUUGAAUUGUGAAGAUUAAGUUAUUGUAUAAGAAUCAAGAAGCUAUGAAAAAUAUCAACUGAAUUUUAACAAGACUGAAGAAAUAGCAUCAUAAAUCAAUUAACAUUACAUCACAAAUAUAUAGAGAGAACUUUUUCUAUUUUAUAUUGAAGCACUUGAAAUAAUUUAAAAGUCGCUACAGAAUCAGUUUGUAAAUAUAACAUAUAGUUUGUUCCGAACUUUAUUUGAAGACACCAAGAAUCUUUAAAGAGUGUGUUAAUCUGCUUGAAAAUCAUAUAAUCUAAUCAAUACUGAAGGAGUCAAUCUACUGCAUUAAGUAAUAAUGCUAUUGAAGAUUUCACCACUUUAUCGCAUCCCUUGUCGCCCAUCAUCACAUCAAGAUAGAAGAAAGUGAAGAAGACAUCAACAACCAAGAAAAUGUGAAAAAAAAACUACUUAUCAAAUAUUUGUAAUACCAAAUGAAGCGUGUCGUGUGUCGUAAGUCCGUUCAGCCCAGUCCAAUCGCAAACUGGGUAGCAAAGAAAUAGAGGAACGUUCACCAGAGAAGGAAAAGCGAAAAGCUAAAGUGAGAGGUGACGAGCGUAAAGAGCGUAAGAUGAGCCGCAAGAGGGACAGGGCUGAGGAAUCAUUAAUCUUGGAAC